rnacentral:rRNA from 1 species
CACGUAGGCGGACCAUUAAGUCAGGGGUGAAAGCCUGGAGCUCAACUCCAGAACUGCCUUUGAUACUGAUGGUCUCGAGUAUGGAAGAGGUUGGUGGAACUGCGAGUGUAGAAGUGAAAUUCGUAGAUAUUCGCAAGAACACCAGUGGCGAAGGCGGCCAACUGGUCCAUUACUGACGCUGAGGUGCGAAAGCGUGGGGAGCAAACA